UUAUUUUUCUUACAGAAUAGGAAGACUGGAGGUAGAUGGCUGCACUGGUUCAGUGACCCAGUGAUGCAAGGGCCCGUAUUUCUGCAAGUCUUUUGACGUUUCCCUGAAGUUCAUGGUACAGCUGGCUGCCUCCACUCCAUGCAUUGUUCUCUUAUUCAAGGCAAGAGCUUGCCCAGAAGUCCCCCAGCAGGUUUCUGCUUACAUCUCACUGGCCAGAACUGUGUCACAGAUGCAAGAAACGCCAGGAAAGUGACAUCCGAGCAGAUGAAUGAAGGCAUAAAUCAUGUGGACACCUAGUUAACUGCAAGUGCUGAGACCUAAAUACAGAAGUAUACUUGCCAUGUUGGGGGAACAGCAUGAAGAAGAGCACUUUUGGAGAUCAGCGAAUCAGGAGAAGGAGCCCAUGGGUCCAGAUUAUGUGAGGCGGGCAACAAGGAAGGUAAAGAUGAGAACUGAUGAUGUAACAGGUGAGUGGAGUGUCCCAGAAGCCCCCAGCCAGGUGGCUCUGGGGGGCUGGAGUAGCUUCAGGAUCGUCUCUGAGCCUCCACAAGCACAGACAAGUUCAGUGUUGACUCCUUGUGCGGAACCCUUGCAUCAUGCAUGGGGCCAAAGGGAAUCCACGUGGACAGCUGAAAUGUACACGGUGUUUUUGUCACACUCUUUGGCUGCCACAGUUUUUUGGCUGAAGCAGUAAUCACCCCAGAGCUGAUCUCCACAGCUUCCAGAAGAUCUGUCCAGUCAUUCACUUACUCACCAAAUAUUUAUUAUAUUACUUGUUUACAAAGCACUGUCCUUGGAGGCACUCAAAAGAGUGGUGCAGAUACGAGAACUUAUAGUUUAACUAGAACAAUGCUU